CAGCAGGUAGUUUAUAUUAAAAUUUUAAUUUUGGAUAUUAAAGAAAUUUAUUUUCUGCUGA
rnacentral:tRNA from 1 species